CCGCCCGUCGCUCCUACCGAUUGAAUGGUCCGGUGAAGUGUUCGGAUCGCGGCGACGGGGGCGGAUCGCCGCCCCCGACGUCGCGAGAAGUCCAUUGAACCUUAUCAUUUAGAGGAAGGAGAAGUCGUAACAAGGUUUCCGUAGGUGAACCUGCGGAAGGAUCAUUG
rnacentral:ncRNA from 1 species